AGAGGGGGCGAGCGUUGUUCGGAAUUACUGGGCGUAAAGGGCGCGUAGGUGGCCUGUUAAGUCGAACGUGAAAUCCCCGGGCUCAACCCGGGAACUGCGUCCGAGACUGGCAGGCUCGAAUCCGGGAGAGGGAUGUGGAAUUCCAGGUGUAGCGGUGAAAUGCGUAGAUAUCUGGAGGAACACCGGUGGCGAAGGCGGCAUCCUGGACCGGUAUUGACGCUGAGGCGCGAAAGCCAGGGGAGCAAACGGGAUUAGAUACCCCGGUAGUCCUGGCCCUAAACGAUGAAUGCUUGGUGUGGCGGGUAUCGAUCCCUGCCGUGCCGAAGCUAACGCAUUAAGCAUUCCGCCUGGGGAGUACGGUCGCAAGGCUG
rnacentral:rRNA from 1 species